UACGUAGGGUGCAAGCGUUGUCCGGAAUUACUGGGCGUAAAGCGUGCGUAGGCGGUUCGUUAAGUCUGUUGUGAAAGCCCCGGGCUCAACCUGGGAAUGGCAAUGGAUACUGGCGAGCUAGAGUGUGUCAGAGGAUGGUGGAAUUCCCGGUGUAGCGGUGAAAUGCGUAGAGAUCGGGAGGAACAUCAGUGGCGAAGGCGGCCAUCUGGGACAACACUGACGCUGAGGCACGAAAGCGUGGGGAGCAAACAGG
rnacentral:rRNA from 1 species